UAUUAAUUUAUUUAUUAGGAGCUUUUUUUUUUUUUUUUUUUUUCCUGAAAUGAAUUGAGAAACUUCUUUCAGUCUUAAAUUAUAGACUAGAGGCAGAACUUUGUUGAAAUGAUUUUUGACAAUGAAGUGAGUUUUGGAUUGUUUAAUACAAAUUGUAUCAGACUUUGAAUUCUCACCAUUCUUCUUGCACUUGAGGAAGUUGGAAAAAUUUUUAUUUUUUGGGCCUUGUGAGGAGAAACUAUUCCUACAAUUUUGCAUCGAUUGGGGUUUAUUUUUAUUUUUGCGGCCUCUGAGGCAAGGUGUUUAGCCCAAGAAAGAACCAAACUUUAUCCACGUAAAACUGCCAUAUGAACGCAAAAUAACGUGUGAUCAUGAGAAAGAGCCAUCUUGUUCAGUUAUUGAAGUCAUAAAAGAUAACAUGUUCGUGAGGAAGAGCUUAAUGUUCAGGACAAAGUACAUCUAUUUCUGACAGGACCUUUGAUAUAUGUAGUUCAUUAGGAGUGGUCAUGGUGAAUACAUUCAGCUUGGAACAGUAUUAAAUAUUGAAGAUGCCAAAAAGGCAACAAUUGCAGCGGCCAAAUUUCUCAUGAGUAAGCAAUGGUGAAGGUAAGAGUUUUAGACUUGUGAAAUCCCAUAUCUUUGUCUGAUUUUUGAUAUGAUACAUAAAAAAUUGUGAAAUAGUAUUACUCUCUCUCUCUCUCUCUCUCGCUAUAUAUGUAUAUAUAUCAAUCUAUUUAUCUUAUUUUAUGUUUUUCCAUUUCCUUAUCAAUAAUCAGACAUUCUGGAUGAUUCCCAGA